rnacentral:tRNA from 1 species
GAGGGUAUAGCUCAGUGGUAGAGCACAUGCUUAGCAUGCACAAGGUCCUGGGUUCAAUCCCCAGUACCUCA